GAUAAACGCUGGCGCGUGCAUGAGCCAUGCAAGUCGAACGAAGGAUCGGGCUUGCUCGAUCCUUAGUGGCGGACGGCUGAGUAACGCGUAGGUGACCUACCCCGAAGUGGGGAAUAACUGCCCGAAAGGGUGGCUAAUACCGCAUGUGGUCGCACGUUCAUUCGUGCGAGUAAAGCCGCAAGGCGCUUCGGGAGGGGCCUGCGUCCGAUUAGCUCGUUGGUGGGGUAAUGGCUUACCAAGGCGACGAUCGGUAGGUGGUCUGAGAGGACGAUCACCCAGACUGGGACUGAGACACGGCCCAGACUCCUACGGGAGGCAGCAGUCGGGAAUUUUGCUCAAUGGGGGAAACCCUGAAGCAGCAACGCCGCGUGAGGGAUGAAGGCCUUCGGGUUGUAAACCUCUUUUGUCAGGGACGAUGAUGACGGUACCUGGCGAAUAAGCCACGGCUAACUACGUG
rnacentral:rRNA from 1 species